rnacentral:rRNA from 1 species
GAUGAACGCUAGCGGCAGGCUUAAUACAUGCAAGUCGAGGGGCAGCAUGACUGUAGCAAUACAGUUGAUGGCGACCGGCAAACGGGUGCGGAACACGUACAGAACCUUCCUUCGAGCGGGGAAUAGCCCAGAGAAAUUUGGAUUAAUACCCCAUAGUACAACGGAGUGGCAUCACUUUGUUGUUAAAGAUUUAUCACUUGAAGAUGGCUGUGCGGCUGAUUAGGUAGUUGGCGGGGUAACGGCCCACCAAGCCUGCGAUCAGUAACUGGUGUGAGAGCACGACCAGUCACACGGGCACUGAGACACGGGCCCGACUCCUACGGGAGGCAGCAGUAAGGAAUAUUGGUCAAUGGACGAAAGUCUGAACCAGCCAUGCCGCGUGGAGGAUGAAGGUCCUCUGGAUUGUAAACUUCUUUUAUAUGGGACGAAAAAGGGUUUUCUAACUCGUCUGACGGUACCAUAUGAAUAAGCACCGGCUAACUCCGUGCCAGCAGCCGG